GACGAACGCUGGCGGCGUGCUUAACACAUGCAAGUGGAGCGACGAACCAGGGCUUGCCCUGGGGCAAAGCCGCGAACGGGUGAGUAACACGUGGGUAACCUGCCCCGAUGACCGGGACAACCCGAGGAAACUCGGGGCUAAUACCGGAUGAGCUCACGCCACAUCAGUGGCAUGAGGAAAGGAAGCUUCGGCCUCCGCAUUGGGAUGGGCCCGCGGCCCAUUAGCUUGUGGUGGGGAAAGGCCUACCAAGGCUUCGAUGGGUAGCUGGUCUGAGAGGACGAUCAGCCACACUGGGACUGAGACACGGCCCAGACUCCUACGGGAGCAGCAGUGGGGAAUCUUGCGCAAUGCGCGAAAGCGUGACGCAGCAACGCCGCGU
rnacentral:rRNA from 1 species